CAAAAAUAAGUUUUAUACGAUAUUUGAUAUGAAGUUUUUGGGACUGAUUGUAGAGUAGAUUGGUGUAAUUUAUUAAAACUGGUGUAAAAAUGAAACUCUUUACCGGAAUAUUUCUUCUUAUACUGGAAAUAUGCCAGGCGUAAGUAUACUUGUAAAUUGUUCCAAGCUACAGUACCAUUAGGUUUUGCCAGCGUACAUGGUAACCGCGGUUAGCUCAAUAGGUAGUGCGAUCACUCGCAAUGUAUCUCUGCUCCGGCAUCAACAGAAGUCAUUAGUUUCUUGCAAAAGUGAAGACAACUAGUGCUGGAAAACUGCUUGACAGCUUGCCCAGGAACGAUUCAGUGGCUGCACUGUGCUCUGGUAAAUUCAAGUGAUCCGGAGUGAAAAUUACAACACAAUCACCCUUGAUCAAGUCAUGGCUGACCAGGAAGUGUGUUAUUUGUCGGAUGGAAGCACAAAAAGCUGUUUACAGUGUUGUGUGUAUGAUUGCUGUAAGGACGACGAUGACAUGUGAGUAAUCAAAUGCUUGUCAUUAAAUUUUCAUGUCUUCAAUUAUAUAUAUAUAAUUUUUCGACGAGACGGCGCGCUCGACUAUUCUCAGUACGUGACAAAAAGGAAAGAGACAUAACGUAACAAGUAACUCAGAGUUAUCGGACCUGUGUCAAUCAUGUAAGAUAACAAAAGUGUGAAGGUUCAGCCCAUUCUCCUCAGUAGAUACCAUGCAAAAACUUAACAAAAGUGUGACACCGUCGCCAUGGUUAAUAUUAUAGCUCUCUCUAUUCGUCAAAUAAAAUCCAGCUAUUUCUAUUUAAAGAGGCUCAUAAUAAAAAUUAUAAAUAAAACACACAAUCAAUAUCAACGUGAACAUACAUUGUGUCAAAUAUCUAGGACACCUAAAAAACUGUUAAAUUAUUAGACGACGUGAAUUAUGCGCUGCUGUAGAUGACUUUCUGGAAAUAUUUUGUCGUAAGCAAUACACUAGUAUAAAGUUAGUACCAUUUUGGGUAGGGUUUAUUCUAUUUUAAAGUAUUUGCAAUGCGUAUGUAAUUGAAGCAUUUAUGCAUACAUCACAUUUCAAGCGGGACCGUUUAAGAUAGAGGCAUCGGUGAGACACCGUUAAUGAUUUUACAUCGGAGAGAAACCUUUCAAGUCUUGCCUGAAACAAGGGACUUGUCAUACACCUUGCAUGGUCCGUUUGGUAGGUUUCCGAAGCGUACUCGCCCCGUCACCUGGACACCGUCAAAUAUUCUUUAAAAGGUAAUUAGCCGUCUAUCGUACGACAUAUAUCUAAUUGUCGUCCGGUAUCCGACUGAUAGCACCCAUCGAAAGAUGACUGUAAGGUGUAGGGGCAAAAUCCAUAUGUAUUCUAGCCGGUUAUUUGACAAUAUUCGUAUGAAUACCGUACGGUCCAUCUUGGUUCUCCGGCAAAUAUUAGACACGACCUCGAUUUCAUAAAGGAGGUAAAUAUAUAGCUCAUUCUAUCCAUAGCAGUAGCCAACAACAUGGCAAAUCCUAGAAAUUUUAAACUAGCUAUGCCACUUCUGCAACUUGCCGUUACAAUGUUAUAAUAAUCUUUGAAGAAGAGAGUAUGAGGUAACGUCAGAGGCAGCGAAUACGGUAUAUAAUACAGAAUAAUGUAUC